rnacentral:rRNA from 1 species
UACGGAGGGUGCAAGCGUUAUCCGGAUUCACUGGGUUUAAAGGGUGCGUAGGUGGAUUAGUAAGUCAGUGGUGAAAUCUCCGAGCUUAACUCGGAAACUGCCAUUGAUACUAUUAGUCUUGAAUUAUCUGGAGGUGAGCGGAAUAUGUCAUGUAGCGGUGAAAUGCUUAGAUAUGACAUAGAACACCAAUUGCGAAGGCAGCUCACUACGGAUAUAUUGACACUGAGGCACGAAAAGCGUGGGGGAUCAAACAGG